UUUUUUUUACAAACAUGGUCUUUUGUUUAUAUAAAAGAUCUAACCUGCCCUAUGAUUUAUUUAAAUGGCUGCAGUAUUUUGACUGUACAAAGGUAGCAUAAUCAUUUGUCUUUUAAUUGAAGGCUGGUAUGAAUGGUUGGACGAGAAAUAUACUUUCUUUGUUUUAUAUAUAAAAGUUAAUUUUCUAGUCAAAAAGCUAGGAUGUUUUUAUAGGACGAGAAGACCCUAUAGAACUUUAUUUUCAUUAUUAUAUAAACUUUUUGGAUUUUUAUAAGAUUAUAUAUUGAUGUUAAUUUCAUUGGGGUGAUGGAAAAAAUUAUAUAACUUUUUCUAUUUCUUACAUUUAUAUAUGUAUUUUUGAUCCUUUUUUAUGGAAAAUAAGAUUAAGUUACCUUAGGGAUAACAGCGUUAUUUCCUUGGAGAGUUCUUAUCGAUAAGGGAGUUUGCGACCUCGAUGUUGGAUUAAAAUAAGUAAUAGGAGUAGAAUAUUAUUCACUAGGUCUGUUCGACCUUUAAAUUUUUACAUGACUAAUUUUCAAC
rnacentral:rRNA from 1 species